CACACUUUGCAUUAUAUACACACACACUUAUACAAACACACACUCUGCAUUAUAUACACACACACUUAUACAAACACACACUCUGCAUUAUAUACACACACACUUAUACAAACACACACUCUGCAUUAUAUGCACACACACUUAUACAAACACACACUCUGCAUUAUAUACACACACUUAUACAAACACACACUCUACAUUAUAUAUACACACACACACACACUUAUACAAACACACACUCUGCAUUAUAUACACACACACUCAUACAAACACACACUCUGCAUUAUAUACACACACACUCAUACAAAC